rnacentral:piRNA from 1 species
UGAUAGUCAGAACUGCAAUGGACAACCGAG